CCUUGGUUCAUCUGUGAAGCUAUAACAUAUCACUAUACACAGAAAAUUGUGUGGAAGAAUACCCAUCAUCAGGGACCCACACCACCCAGGACAUGCUCUCUCUUCUCUGCUGCCAUCAUGAAGAAGGUAGCACGGCCUCCACAGAGACCUGAUCUCAACAUCGUCGAGACUGUCUGGGAUUACCUGGAGAGACAGAAGCAAAUGAGACAGUCAGUCUGCAGUAAAACUGUGGCAAGUUCUCCAAGAUGCUUGGAACAACCUACCAGCUGAUUUUCUUAUAAAACUGCAUAACAG